rnacentral:rRNA from 1 species
UACGUAGGCAGCGAGCGUUGUUCGGAGUUACUGGGCGUAAAGGGUGUGUAGGCGGUUCUUUAAGUUUGGUGUGAAAUCUCCCGGCUCAACCGGGAGGGUGCGCCGAAUACUGAGGGACUAGAGUGCGGGAGAGGAAAGUGGAAUUCCUGGUGUAGCGGUGAAAUGCGUAGAUAUCAGGAGGAACACCGGUGGUGUAGACGGCUUCUGGACCGUAACUGACGCUGAGACACGAAAGCGUGGGGAGCAAACAGG